rnacentral:rRNA from 1 species
GUUUUGGGGGACUGCGGAGGGACAUUACACAAAUAUGAAGGCGGGCUGGAAUCUCUCGGGGUUACAGCCUUGCUGAAUUAUUCACCCUUGUCUUUUGCGUACUUCUUGUUUCCUUGGUGGGUUCGCCCACCACUAGGACAAACAUAAACCUUUUGUAAUUGCAAUCAGCGUCAGUAACAAAUUAAUAAUUACAACUUUCAACAACGGAUCUCUUGGUUCUGGCAUCGAUGAAGAACGCAGCGAAAUGCGAUAAGUAGUGUGAAUUGCAGAAUUCAGUGAAUCAUCGAAUCUUUGAACGCACAUUGCGCCCUUUGGUAUUCCAAAGGGCAUGCCUGUUCGAGCGUCAUUUGUACCCUCAAGCUUUGCUUGGUGUUGGGCGUCUUGUCUCUAGCUUUGCUGGAGACUCGCCUUAAAGUAAUUGGCAGCCGGCCUACUGGUUUCGGAGCGCAGCACAAGUCGCACUCUCUAUCAGCAAAGGUCUAGCAUCCAUUAAGCCUUUUUUCAACUUUUGACCUCGGAUCAGGUAGGGAUACCCGCUGAACUUAAGCAUAUCAAUAAGCCGGAGGAA